CAAUAAAUGAAGUCAUGUGUCACACAUUUGAUGUCAUGUGUCACUCAUUAAGAAUAUCGCGAGUUGGUCAGGUGGUUUUGCGUGGCUAGUCAAGCGUCGCUGGGGGAACCUAAUUGCAAUGGCGUCGAGUUCAAACAGAGAUUCAUCGGCCCGAGCAGCAGCACAUAUUCUAAUCAGUGGAUCCCACAGCGGUGAAUCUUCCUCCUAUACAGCGUCAGGACGAAACCAACCAGAGUCAGCAAAUGAGGCUGAAAUGCGGUUUUCAUCAGUGCGCAGAAUGUUCUGCCUUUUUGUGACAUUUGACUUGCUUUUUAUUGGGACGAUAUGGAUUCUUUACGUUAAUACAAGUGGUAUAAGUGGAGGUUUAAAAGAAGCAUUUUGUUGCCAGGUAAAUGAUUUCAGCAUCCACACAUCUAUGUUUGAUAUCGUGCUAUUGGCUGCUGGGCGUGUAAUGUUGCUAUUAUUGGCCUAUGCUCUCUUUCAGAGCAAGCAUUGGUUCACAGUGGCGUUUACUACAUCAAUGUCGUGUAUUUUCUUAAUUUGUAAAAUAGUGCUUUUUGACUUUGGAGAUGAUAAAAAAGAAUGCAAAACAAAUUCUGAUGCCAAGAUAAUGGAGUUUUUCAUCUUUAUAUGCUGUUUUGUCUUAACAUGGAUUGAAGUGUGGAUUCUAGAUUUAAAAGUUUUACCACGAGAGAGAAAACGUGAAGAAGCUCAUAAUCGCUCUCUGUCGAUUGCAACCCAGAACGAAAGGACGCCCCUUUUAAAUCCAGCACCACAAGAGGAUAGUAGUGUACCUGAUCAGACAUUUUAUUCUCCAAUAGCAUCGACUACAGGCUCUGAUGAUGAAUGUGUAGAGUAUAGUCCUGCAAGUAGUUAUCGUUCCAAAGUUGAUGAAUUUCAAUCGCUGCCUAAUAGUCAACGAGGGAGUUCUAUAAACCUUGCUGCGUCCGCAGAGGAUCAGGCAUAUCUAGAGAAGGCUAAAGAAGCCCAAAUGCAAAUGCAAAUGAUAGCAUUAGAAACAGAAGGAUGGAAAAUGGAGCGGAAGAGAGAAAAUAUCAUAGUCGAAAGCAGGUAUUUUGAGGGAAUAACUGGAAAAGUUUAUAAGCUUGAGGGCAUUAUAGAAGCCAGCGUUCAAGAGAUAUUUAAAGUGAUGUGGGAGGGUAUUGAUGACACCUUAAAGUGGAAUACUACCGUAAUUGAAUGUCGUCUGCUCCACUCAAUAAGUUCAACUGCUGAUAUUGUCUAUAGCGUCGCAGCUGAAGGUGCUGGAGGGGUGGUGGCCAGCAGGGAUUUUGUGAGUGUGAGGACAUAUCAAAUUGAGGGUAGUGUGUAUCGGUGUGCAUCUAAAUCUGUUGAAUAUCCUGAAAUGGAGCCAGUCAAGAAAUAUGUACGUGGUGAAAAUGGACCAGGUGGUUGGAUUGCUGAGCCUCUUGAUGGGAACCCAAACAUUUCUAAAUUUACAUGGAUCUUGAACUCUGACCUCAAGUUUAUGGUCUGGACACCUCAAACUGUCCUGGACACUGCCCUCAGUGUUGUGGUCAUGAACAUCUUUUUUGGACUUCGAGAACACAUCAAAUCGCUGAAGCAGAGUAGCAUUCCAAAUGGCCACGCCAACUCAAACACAAGCUAUGAUGAAGAACCGAUUUCAGUAUGAGCUUCAUUUGGCCCUCAGUAAGCAAAUCAGAGUGAAAUUUGAUUAACCAUCAGUCACAGUUUUUAUCAUGGAGAGUGAAAUUUGAUUAACCAUCAGUCGCAGUUGUUUUCAUCAUGGAGUUAGAUUCCUUUAUUGGGUGGUGUUUUUUUAACUUCAACUCAAAAGGAAUACAAGAAUCGUUCAUUCUCAAGGCGAAUCAUGCUGAAAAAAUGUAUACACUUUUUGUAUAAGGUUUCUAAUAUUGUUAACAGUGAUAUUUCAAACUAUAUUUAAAUUAUGAUGAUUGUGAUUUUUCCAAAGAUAAACAUGAUCACAAAAUGUAGAGAUAGCUCAGAAUGUAAACAUUAACCUAGAAAAAAUGCAAAUUUUGAAAAUAUGAUUUUGUAUUACAAAUCCUAAUACCAUAAACUGUUUAUGUGAUGGUGAUGUCUUACACGUGUUUCAGGGAUAUCUAUUACGCACGAAAUUUCAUGCAUACUGGUUCUUAUGAUACUUUAGAUAUUUUUAGACGAUGAGGCUAAAUGCGAAACAAAAUUGGAAGUGCUUGCUUUCUAUUGGUUGGAGCAAUAUGACCUGUGCAGUCCGUGUCCUACAUUCCGAUGUUAGUUUACCGGUAUUGGAUAUAACGUGUUAAAUGAGUAUUUCUGUCCACAAUAACAUUCGCUGUGUUUAUGAAUUGAUGGUCUUUUUUCUUUAAGCGUAUUAAUAUUAUCAUCACCUGAUUUUGAUAUUGCUAAAAUUUUAUAUUUUCCCCUCAAUUUUGUAGAUGAUUGUAUGAACUGAUUUUUUGGAUACAAUUUGAAAAUUACAGUAUAGAUUAUAGAUACAGACAUAUAUUGUUGAUAAUGUGUUUACCACUGAUUCUGCAAUAAUUCUGUAAUAACAAUUAGAUUGGAAGUAUUGAAGCAAUGGAAAGACUUCCGUCUUUCAGUGAAAUGGUCGUGAGUGUGAGCUCGGCUUAUGUUUUGGGUUAGAUGGGCAUUGAUUGGCCAUGUGACCAAAUUAUUUCGGUUAAGCUAGAUUUACAUUAGACACGAUAACGAUGCGACAACGACACGACAACGACAUAUCAUCGCAUAGUUUGUAUUCUUCAACACUGCGCGCAUCUGUAUCGUGUCGUUGUUGUGUCGUAAUGGUGUCUAGUAUAAAUGUAGCUUUUACAUAGACACUCGAAGAAAAAAAAGGGCAGAACUUAACACUUAAAGAAGAUCUGUUGGAUGGGCAAACUUGUCAGAGCAAGAUGUGAAAUGUAAGAGAGAAGAAAGUGGAGGAAGCAAAUGUCAGCCUUUGUUUCCACAUGACACAAAGAAGAAAAAUAUGCUAAAUCUGUUUGCACGAUUGCACAACGACGGUAGGACGUAGAACAUAAUGACGUCACUAAAAGUCAUCUGCGCAUGCGAGAACGUUAAGGUAACCUCGUCGAGUAGAUUUCGUAACGCAAUUUGGCUAAAUCUACGUAUGCAGAGAAAGCAGGACGUCAGGUAGGACGGUCACGCAUGAGUGAUUCCGUUCUAGCGUCGAGUCGUCGCACAAAUCGAAAGCUCCCUAAUGUUCUAUUUAUAGAGGAUGGAUAAUACUUAAAUUUAAUUAGGUUUAAUAAAAAAAGUAUGAUUUUAAGCAACUUCAGUAAUAAAGUACUUUGUAAUUUUUUCUAAAUAUAUUUAAUAUGGUGAAUGGAGACUAUAUCAAGUUAUCAACCUAUUCCACACUGUUAAGAACAUUUAAAUUGCACAUCUCAUGACUCCAUUAUAUGCACUAACAUCACUACUCCAUCAUAUGCAUCCACAUCAUCACUCCAUCAUCAGUGGCAGAUCCGGGGUGGGGGGGGGGUUCAAGGGGUUCGGAUGAACCCUCCUCUGUGAAGAAAUGUAAAAGAAUACAACUGGGUCCUGGCUUACAAAAAGCAUGCUAACCUACCUAGACAUAGGUUGGAAGAUCAGACAAACUAGGCUUAGCCCAACUAGUUUUCAAUUUAAUUAUACAGUGUUUUUGGUGCGCCGUCGUAAUAAUUUAUAUACGAAAGUGCGUUUUUCAGGCUUAUUGGUUCAUCGAUCCAUGGAAGAAAGACUACAUAUCAAACUACUCAGUGUUGUUGGAAUAUAAUAAUAUAUCGUCUACCUUUGAUUUUUUCCUCUAUGAUAGGCCUAAAGAAUGAGAUAAAAUU